UGGGGAAUCUUGGACAAUGGGCGCAAGCCUGAUCCAGCCAUGCCGCGUGGAUGAUGAAGGCCUUAGGGUUGUAAAAUCCUUUCGUUGGGGACGAUAAUGACGGUACCCAAAGAAGAAGCUCCGGCUAACUUCGUGCCAGCAGCCGCGGUAAUACGAAGGGGGCUAGCGUUGUUCGGAUUUACUGGGCGUAAAGCGCGUGUAGGCGGACUUGUAAGUUGGGGGUGAAAUCCCGAGGCUCAACCUCGGAACUGCCUCCAAAACUACAAAUCUGGACCUAAGUAGAGGCAAGUGGAAUUCCCAGUGUAGAGGUGAAAUUCGUAGAUAUUGGGAAGAACACCAGUGGCGAAGGCGGCUAACUGGUCCGGUACUGACGCUGAGGUGCGAAAGCGUGGGGAGCAAACAGGAUUAGAUACCCACGUAGUCCCUGAGCGGGCUGGCAAGGCGCAU
rnacentral:rRNA from 1 species